CAGGGCACUUCUCCACUGGCAAAGGACGGACGCUGUCAAACCUGGCAGAGCAGAGGUCGUGAGUUCGAAACAUGGGGCUCUUGGAAGGCAAGGAUUUAUUCUUGGAAGGCAAGGGAACAUUUGGAAGGCAAGGAUUUAUUCUUGGAAGGCAAGUGGGAACUUGGAAGGCAAUGAUUAUUCUUGGAAGGUAAGGUCCAACUUGGAUUGGCUUGCUUGGCACUUUGUCAGACCAGGUGGGGAGCGC
rnacentral:lncRNA from 1 species